rnacentral:misc_RNA from 1 species
GGGCGGUGGCACUCUCUUCGGCUGAAUUCUUAUACCCUGGAGAUGCUUCCUCCUCCCUCUGAUGGCAGUAGAUCUCCCUUCGACCAAAUCUACUUAAAUGCUCAAAAGGCCAUGCACACCUUCCGGUAGACAUAGAUUAACGAAGGUUCCUCCCUAAAAGCCCAUUAGAUCUGCAACCACCACAAUACAAUCAACAAAAGGAGAAAACUAAUGCACAAACAUCGGCCACCCAAAGAUUUCCUAACUAGUCAUCACUAAAAACUAUCUACAAUCCAAUAAGAGGGGAAACCCACU